rnacentral:rRNA from 1 species
UACGAAGGGUGCAAGCGUUAAUCGGAAUUACUGGGCGUAAAGGGUGCGUAGGCGGUUGCUUAAGUCUGUCGUGAAAUCCCCGGGCUCAACCUGGGAAUGGCGAUGGAUACUGGGCAGCUAGAGUGUGUCAGAGGAUGGUGGAAUUCCCGGUGUAGCGGUGAAAUGCGUAGAGAUCGGGAGGAACAUCAGUGGCGAAGGCGGCCAUCUGGGACAACACUGACGCUGAGGAGCGAAAGCAUGGGGAGCGAACAGG